rnacentral:rRNA from 1 species
GAGCACGUAGGUGGGUUUGUAAGUCAGAUGUGAAAGCCUUCUGUUCAACGGAAGAAUUGCAUCUGAAACUGCGAGUCUUGAGUGUAGGAGGGGAGAAUGGAACUUCUGGUGGAGCGGUGAAAUGCGUAGAUAUCAGAAGGAACGCCGGCGGCGAAAGCGAUUCUCUGGCCUAUUACUGACACUCAGUGUGCGAAAGCUAGGGGAGCAAACGGGAUUAGAUACCCCGAUAGUCCUAGCCGUAAACGAUGGGCACUAAGUAGAGGGGUUUU